rnacentral:SRP_RNA from 1 species
GCUGGGCAUGGUGGCAUGUGCCUGUAAUCCCAGCUACUUGGGAGGCUGAGACAGAAGAAUUGCUUGAACCCAGGAGGCAGAGGUUGCAGUGAGCUGAGAUCGCGCCACUACACUCCAGCCUGGGCAACAAAGCGAGACUCUGUCUCAA